UAGGGAAUAUUGGGCAAUGGGGGAAACCCUGACCCAGCAACGCCGCGUGAGGGAAGAAGGCCUAACGGUUGUAAACCUCUGUCAUAUGGGAAGAAGGAAUGACAAUACCAUAUGAGGAAGCUCCGGCUAACUACGUGCCAGCAGCCGCGGUAAUACGUAGGGAGCAAGCGUUGUCCGGAAUUACUGGGCGUAAAGGGUGCGUAGGCGGCAUGUUAAGUUAGAUGUCAAAUACCCGGGCUUAACCCGGGGACGCAUCUAAAACUGGCGUGCUUGAGUGCAGGAGAGGAAAGCGGAAUUCCUAGUGUAGCGGUGGAAUGCGUAGAUAUUGGAAGGAACACCAGUGGCGAAGGCGACUGCCUGGAUAGAUACUGACACUGAGACACGAAAGCGUGGGUAGCAAACA
rnacentral:rRNA from 1 species